GAUGAACGCUAGCGGCAGGCCUAAUACAUGCAAGUCGAGGGGUAGAAGAGGCUUGCUUCUUUGAGACCGGCGCACGGGUGCGUAACGCGUAUGCAACCUACCUUCAUCUGGGGGAUAGCCCGGAGAAAUCCGGAUUAAUACCGCAUAAAAUCACAGGAUGGCAUUAUCCAGUGAUCAAACAUUUAUGGGAUGGAGAUGGGCAUGCGUGUCAUUAGCUAGUUGGCGGGGUAACGGCCCACCAAGGCGACGAUGACUAGGGGAUCUGAGAGGAUGGCCCCCCACACUGGUACUGAGACACGGACCAGACUCCUACGGGAGGCAGCAGUAAGGAAUAUUGGUCAAUGGAGGCAACUCUGAACCAGCCAUGCCGCGUACAGGAAGACUGCCCUAUGGGUUGUAAACUGCUUUUAUUCGGGAAUAAACCUUAUUACGUGUAAUAAGCUGAAUGUACCGAAGGAAUAAGGAUCGGCUAACUCCGUGCCAGCAGCCGCAGUAA
rnacentral:rRNA from 1 species